GACGUAGGAGGCGAGCGUUGUCCGGAUUCAUUGGGCGUAAAGAGCGCGCAGGCGGCUUGGUAAGUCGGAUGUGAAAUCCCGAGGCUCAACCUCGGGUCUGCAUCCGAUACUGCCCGGCUAGAGGUAGGUAGGGGAGAUCGGAAUUCCUGGUGUAGCGGUGAAAUGCGUAGAUAUCCGGAGGAACACCAGUGGCGAAAGCGGCCACCUGGACUGCACCUGACGCUGACACGCGAAAGCUAGGGGAGCGAACGGG
rnacentral:rRNA from 1 species